CAUUAGNGAUUGCAUCGAUGAAGAACGCAGCGAAAUGCGAUAANGUAAUGUGAAUUGCAGAAUUCAGUGAAUCAUNGAAUCUUUGGACGCACAUUGUGCCCUCUGGUAUUCCGGGGGGCAUGCCUGUUCGAGCGUCAUUAUAACCACUCAAGCUCUCGCUUGGUAUUGGGGUUGCGGUUCCGCGGCCCCUAAAAUCAGUGGCGGUGCCUGUCGGCUCUACGCGUAGUAAUACUCCUCGCGAUUGAGUCCGGCAGGUCUACUUGCCAGCAACCCCCAAUUUUUACAGGUUGACCUCGGAUCAGGUAGGGAUACCCGCUGAACUUAAGCAUAUNAAUAAGCGGAGGA
rnacentral:rRNA from 1 species